rnacentral:rRNA from 1 species
GAGUUACCAGCACGUGAAGGUGGGGACUCUCAGUGGACUGCCGGCGACAAGCCGGAGGAAGGUGGGGACGGACGUCAAGUCAUCAUGGCCCUCAUGUCCAGGGCGACACACGUGCUACAAUGGCCGGCACAACGGGAAGCGAAGUCGCGAGGCAGAGCGGAUCCCUUAAAGCCGGUCCCAGUUCGGAUUGCAGUCUGCAACUCGACUGCAUGAAGCCGGAAUCGCUAGUAAUCGCGGAUCAGCCAAGCCGCGGUGAACUACGUUCCCGGGCCUU